GCCGCCAUCGUCUAGUGGCUAGGACAACGGGCUUUCAAUCCGUUAACAGGGGUUCGAUUCCCCUUGGCGGCACAA
rnacentral:tRNA from 1 species